GAUGAACGCUAGCGGCAGGCUUAAUACAUGCAAGUCGAGGGGCAGCAGGGGUGUAGCAAUACACCUGCUGGCGACCGGCAAACGGGUGCGGAACACGUACGCAAUCUACCCAAAACUGGUGAAUAGCCCUCCGAAAGGAGGAUUAAUACACCGUAACUUAACGAGGUGGCAUCACCUUGUUAAUAUAGCUCCGGCGGUUUUGGAUGAGCGUGCGCCUGAUUAGGUAGGUGGCGGGGUAACGGCCCACCAAGCCUGCGAUCAGUAACUGGUGUGAGAGCACGACCAGUCACACGGGCACUGAGACACGGGCCCGACUCCUACGGGAGGCAGCAGUAAGGAAUAUUGGUCAAUGGACGCAAGUCUGAACCAGCCAUGCCGCGUGAAGGAUGAAGGUCCUCUGGAUUGUAAACUUCUUUUAUAUGGGACGAAACCUCUUAUUCUUAAGAGUCUGACGGUACCAUAGGAAUAAGCACCGGCUAACUCCGUGCCAGCAGCCGCCGUAAAAC
rnacentral:rRNA from 1 species